UGGGGCAGGGAGAAGCCAUGGAUCCAGUUGAAAUGACCAGGAAGGGUUUUACAGAAUGAUUCCCCUAAGCAAACAUCCCAGAGAGAAGAAAAGCAAAAGACACACAGCUAAAUGGACAACAGUUCCCAGCCUCGUCACAGGAGAACUCUUUGGAGCCAAGUGAACCCCUGGGUCUCCUUUUUCCCACCCCAUCACUUCAGCGCUUUGAGAUCAAGUUCGAACUCAGUCCCAACACAGAGUGUCACUGCAAAUUGUUUAUUAAAACACAAAGCAAUGGACAGUGAAAAACAUCCUGAUUUUGUACUUUUUGGUGGGAGUGGGGUGGGACAUGGAAGGGGUAGGGUCAGAUGGAGACAGCCCAGAAGGAAAGCCAGCUCUAUCCACCCCUACAGCUUCCCCGGCCAACCAGGUUCAAAGCCCAUCAGUUAUAUCUCACUGUGCCGCUGUCAAUGCAUGUUGUGGCUGCUGGCAAAGAGUUGGUUUGGCCUCCACAGAGAGAGGAUGGGAAACUAGGGUAGAAGCUACAAGGGCUAAGAACUUGAUGCUUUUUCUCCAGUACUUGGUACAGAAUAGAGCAGCCAGGCCCAAUGUGGAAGGGUGGGCUUGGUUUCCUGACAAGCCAGGUUAGACCAAUAAUGGUUGAAGAGGCUGCCCUGGGCUCAGAAUGGGCAGCUGGUCCUUGCCUGGGAGAACUUUGUGGAAGGAAAAGGUAAGAUUCCUUAAGUCCAAGGAGAGAACCAAUCCAGGGUCAAAUUUCUUUUCAUUCCCUGGAUCACAACACACCAGGGAAGAGAGGAGUCAAGAAUGUCUCUCCCUGCCAGUGCUCCCCUCCUACCUCGCAACUCGGCUCUCCCUUCCCGACAGUUGUCCUUUGAAAGGACGGAAAGCGCACUUCAGUUUGUUGUUGUUUUUCCUCAUACUGAAAUAAAGCACUGAAGCUCAAAAUAGAGGUGAGAAUGGAGUUCUGCUUUCCCCAGUGCUAUGUGCCCCCAUCUCACAAGACUGCCUGGAUGCAAGAGGUGCCAAGGCCCUCUCUGCCAACUCAAACAGGCACUACUGUUUCCUUGGCUGCCAGCACAAUCCUGGCUCCUUGUGUUUAUACUCCUGGGGGAACCUGUCCCAAGAGAUCCAUCCUGCUCUUUUCCUGCCAACCCAGCUAGUCCCCAAAUCACCUGCUCUUAUCAAGAUAAUCUGGCCCCCCAUAGCAGGCUAGACAAAAGGCAGCUGGAAAGGACAGGCCAGACUGGAAGCAAGCCACACAGAUGCAAAGAAGAAACCUGCCCUCGCUAGGCAGCUGAUCUACUGGUACCAAUCUAGUCUCAUAACAAAAUGAGGAAAUCUAGCCCUCUUGCCCCAGAGAGAUUUAAAUACAGAGAGUCUUAGUUUGGACUGAAAGAGAAAAAUUGCUCUGAUCUUUCUAAAGCUUGAACAUUAAGGCUUCUUUGCAAUUUUCUUAGAGCUCUUUGAUCGUUAAUUAUAUCUUUCCAUCGAAGAGAAGCAGAUUUCUUCUGAGAUUUCUGAACAGUUCCUGGGUGUUUCCGGUUCUGCUUCCGUGUACUAUCACUUUGCCUUGCCUCAGUCUCUCCUUCCUCCGGGGCCACAGAAGGAGAAAGCCCAAAGCAUACCCAUCCUGCCCUUUAAAAAAAAAAAGAAAGAAAGAUUCGUCUCUCACUUUGGAAAGCUCACCUACUCUCCUAGGUCCUUCUGGAGGGGCAUGGAGGACAAUAUUCCAUGUUGCCAUUUGAUGCCACUAAGGAUCCCCAAGGCAAGAAGACACUUGAAUUAUGCCAGAGUAGGCCAGCAAAGGGGAGGGAAGGGACAGGGAAGCAGCCCCAUGGCAGGGACUAUAGGACCCCUGCCCAAACCUGAAUCUAGAGGGAAUGCCCCACCCUGGCUCAGAGCAGGAGAGGAAAAGGCACUGUGCUGACCGGGGUGGGUCCUUCCCCAACCCCUAGGGAGGGCAGAGAACCUGCUGAUUCUUUCCCUGGGUUUCCCAAGGUGAGCCAAUUUCUAGGGAAAGGGAUUUUAGCACUAGGAAAAGGAAAAUACUGCUGCUGUUUUCUGAAGUUCUCAGCUGAGAUUUUAGAAACCAUAUCCAGGCCUUUCCAGGAGAGGCUAGAGGCAGGAGAAGAAGGAAGAGAAAUUCCUUAAAACAGAAGCUUCUCCCAAGAGAUAAGGAAGUCAAAACCACAGUUCUAAAGCUGGACCAAACAGUUCCCAGGCACAGAAAGGGGGAGGUAAACCUAACUCAAACUGUGCCCUCUCAUCAAAGCCUAAAUGCCCGCUAACGUGAUCCCAGUAGCUCUUAGGCAGGGAGGGCAAGAGAACACGAACACGCUCUCAAACCAACAGGUGGCCCUGUGGGCAGGGCUAGUCUUCCUGGGAGUCUAACGCCAUUGACACCUGAAGAAAACUAUCUUCCCAGUCAUGAGAACUCGGGGUGUCGAUUGAGCAGCCUCUCCUCAACAAUGGAGAUUUUUCAGAAAAGUGAGUCUGGUUUAAGGGACACAAAUCCCACAGAGUUUCUUGGCACAAUGUUUCAGUAAGCAUGAGUGAGACCCAAAAACGUCCAAUGAGAGACCAACAGGCCCCUGACCUAAGUCAGAGCUAGACUGCAGAACUCUCAGCCCAGCUCUGCAGCAGACAUCUGCGUCAUCCUCCCAGAAAUUCAACUCAGGCCACACUUCUGGCAAAAGAAGUUUCACCCUGACUGUCCUUGUUUUCAGUCAGCUGGGCUCAGUGGGAUCUAAAAACCUGGGACAGAGUGUAGAUCCAGUAGAGGAGCCCAGGCCUCUCCUCCACGCACCCCUCACUGGCACCCCUCACCAUCUCCCAUACAUUCCCUAUGGUGCAGCCUCUCAGUCCUAGCACUAAGCUCAAAAUACAGAUAAGAGAACAAACAGUGCAAAAAGCAAAAGGUGAACAACAGAGUAAUUCUUGACACAUACAAUACAAAAAUAAAAAUAAAGAAUCCCACCCCUUUAACCUAAACUUCAUGUACCUAUAUCUUGGAGGAGCCACAAAACAAAAACAAAAACAAAAAAACUUUCAAGUUCAGCAUCAUGAGCCAGCUGUGACCAGCCCCAGGGAGCUCUUGUUAGCUGGAUAGGCUUGGCUCCAGGGGAGUCUACCCCAGCCCCCACCAUACUUCUUCCUGUUUCCUCACUUCCCCUUUAGUUUUUGUUAGCCAUAGAAAGAUGUUCCUUCCUUUCGUUCACAACCAGAGAGGAAAGCGCCCAUCCCUAACCCUGAGCUCAGGGGAAAAGGGUGGGCUUGGAAACAGAGGCAGAAGCAAAGCUGCUUGGCUUACAGUACCAUUAGGAAAUGGCCCCAGGAGUCAGGGUUUCCUUCUGAGACUCUGAGUCACUGAAGGGAUGUGUUGAGGUGGAAGGCGGGACCCCCUCCUUCCUCAGACAGACCCAGGCAAACUAACAAACAAGGCAAAAUGGAGGCAGCCAGUCCUCCUCCUUCAUCUUGACUAACCCAAUGGCAGUGGCCCAGGGCUUUGGGGAAUUUCGAUGGGAUAGGAACCAAAGCUACUGCCAGAAGCCUGUUUAGUUAGGAUGUCCACUGCCCCAGGCAGGUGGUCCCCAGGACCAAGGCUACAGUACCUUAUCCUUUAGAAGCAGGGGAGCUGUGUGAAGCACUAUGGGAAGUAUACCUCUGACUGCAGCCUCGGGCCACAACCCUCCAGCUGCCUGACUCAAUACCCUAGCACUGAGACCCAAGUCACAGCGAAAACAACAGGCUACAAUUCUCAAACGACUAAAUGCUGGCCUGGAGUAAUCAUUAAAGAGCCAAAACCCAGGACAUGAGCCCAAGAGCUACCUAUUUUGUCACAUAAGGAGCAGUUCAAAUAUACAGAGCUCUUAAAAAACAUAUCUAAUAAAGCAAACUCAAAAUUAAACACAUUCUAGAAAAGCGGGCCUGGCCUGAGAUCCUAUAUUGACUGCUCCAGCCCAAGCUGAAGCUAAUCCUGCUGUCUCCCAUCCACAAAAUUCCUUCUAGCUUGGCUGGGUCCUCCUUCAUUGUUGCCCUAACUGGGAAAUGGAUGACAAUGGCCAGAAAGGAGGGGACCAGGGAAGCUUCAUUUCCUAUAGAAAUUUUUUCAGGGAAUUCAAGAUCGACACUUAGAUGCUAAGGUUAGCUUCAGAGCUGCCAAGGCUCUGGCUGACUGGAAUUCUUUCAGUCCCAUCACACCAAGAACCUGACUGCUACUUGGAUAGAGAAAUGAAAGGACAGGGGAAGGAGGGGCAUACUAUUAAGAUCAAUAAGAAGCAUCGCUGGGCCUAUAUAGCUAAUUAGUCUAGUUCCUUGAAGUAGCUCUAGGCAUAAACCAAAACUGGCUGAACUGUGACACACAAGAACAUGGGAAUAAAUGAACAUCAGAUACCAGACACUCUAAACAGUGGUCAGUCACUUAGUAGGGCUCAAAUCUCUGAGGUUGCUCUUAAGCUAUGCUAACAUAAGCCUUUUCUAAUCCAAAGACCAGAAGAGACUUUUAAGGUCAAGUGUUCUGUUGCUGCAGGCUGGAAAGCAUCCCUGCCCCCUGGCAGCAAGGCCCUACAAAGGGGCCAGUAAAGAACUGCUGGGUCAGGUCCUCCUGGCUGCUGGCUCAGAGAUCCAGGGAGGGAGGUACCAACAAGGUGAGGUGGUAAAGGAGAAGACAUUCAAGCAGAGAACCCCAAAUCCCCGUGUCUCCUUCCCUUCUUGGCUAUAACUUAGUGGGAUGGUUGAGAGGGAGAAGAAAUUUCAAAUGAGCCAGAUUAAGGAAACAAACAAACAAACAAAACUGAGAAGAAAUCAAGUCCCCAACAGGCACUGAAAUCAAAAUGAUUUGUUGUGGUAACAAGUCAGAGGCGAUCUGAGGACCCGACAUAACCGAAACGUCUUGGAUGCUGGACAGUCUAUAACUGGCACAUGCCAGGGAGACAAGCAAUGACAAAGCUCAAACACUAAAGGUGGGACCAUCACUGGAUUAAUCCAGAAAGGCUUCCAGAUAAGGAAGCAUUUUCUUUCUUUUUUUUUAAUCUCCCUACUUUUUUUUUUAAGUCUUUACCGCACAAAUUCUACCCCUUCACACACAUUCUUUCAAUCCCAGGACGUCUGAAGUCUUAUCUAGACAUAACUUCAGACCGUACCUAACUCCCAGUGCUGGUCGUCUCAGGUAAUAAGAUGGCAUUUCCCUGCUGUUAAUUUCUAACCUAAAAAAAGGAACAGUGACUCCUCUGAGUUCAGAGUCCUUUCCACUAGGUAUACAAAUGAGGAUCCUUGAGCAGGAAGGAUCCAGUUUACCCUAAGUAUCCUCAAGAGGAAAGAGAAGGCUGGGAGCCAGCCACAAAGAGAGGACGAGGACUGAAGCACGUCUGGGACCAGGUGGUGAAUGAGGGCUGCUCUCUACUCGCUCUGCCUCUUUUUGUCUCCUUUAAUUGAUGUGUGUUUUUUUCUCUUUGUUUUUGUUCAUUAAUCAUUGUGAAAAAUACAGAAACCAAAACCAAUAUGGCUGGUUUCUUUCCCACACCCCUCCACCCUGUUCAGGAUAGUCAUUUGUUCUCACAACCGGCAGAGGCAGAAGAGGGUUGGAAUGAAGACUCCGAAGGCCACCAGGAUGGGAAACAUGAGGCUGCUGUUGUCCGAGGCAUAGGGGUUGGGUGUGCGGGGGCCUGACUGCACCCGGUUCUUAUUGGUCUGUUUUUUGAGAUUAGACCCUUCAUCAUAUUCUUCUUCUUCUUCUUCCUCUUCUUUCUUCUCCAAUCCCGGAUGAGGCUGAAGCUUUGGUACAUCU
rnacentral:lncRNA from 1 species